AUUGAACGCUGGCGGCAGGCCUAACACAUGCAAGUCGAGCGGAUGAAGGGAGCUUGCUCCUGGAUUCAGCGGCGGACGGGUGAGUAAUGCCUAGGAAUCUGCCUGGUAGUGGGGGAUAACGUCCGGAAACGGGCGCUAAUACCGCAUACGUCCUGAGGGAGAAAGUGGGGGAUCUUCGGACCUCACGCUAUCAGAUGAGCCUAGGUCGGAUUAGCUAGUUGGUGGGGUAAAGGCCUACCAAGGCGACGAUCCGUAACUGGUCUGAGAGGAUGAUCAGUCACACUGGAACUGAGACACGGUCCAGACUCCUACGGGAGGCAGCAGUGGGGAAUAUUGGACAAUGGGCGAAAGCCUGAUCCAGCCAUGCCGCGUGUGUGAAGAGGGUCUUCGGAUUGUAAAGCACUUUAAGUUGGGAGGAAGGGCAGUAAGUUAAUACCUUGCUGUUUUGACGUUACCAACAGAAUAAGCACCGGCUAACUUCGU
rnacentral:rRNA from 1 species